rnacentral:rRNA from 1 species
AACGAACGCUGGCGGCAUGCCUAACACAUGGAAGUCGAACGAGACCUUCGGGUCUAGUGGCGCACGGGUGCGUAACGCGUGGGAACCUGCCCUUAGGUUCGGAAUAACUCCCCGAAAGGGGUGCUAAUACCGGAUAAUGUCUUCGGACCAAAGAUUUAUCGCCUUUGGAUGGGCCCGCGUUGGAUUAGCUAGUUGGUAGGGUAAAAGCCUACCAAGGCGACGAUCCAUAGCUGGUCUGAGAGGAUGAUCAGCCACACUGGGACUGAGACACGGCCCAGACUCCUACGGGAGGUAGCAGUGGGGAAUAUUGGACAAUGGGCGAAAGCCUGAUCCAGCAAUGCCGCGUGAGUGAUGAAGGCCUUAGGGUUGUAAAGCUCUUUUACCCGGGAUGAUAAUGACAGUACCGGGAGAAUAAGCUCCGGCUAACUCCGUG